rnacentral:tRNA from 1 species
GUCCCUAUCGUCUAGAGGCCUAGGACAUCGCCCUUUCACGGCGGUAACCGGGGUUCGAAUCCCCG